rnacentral:rRNA from 1 species
UGACGUCAAAUCAUCAUGCCCCUUACUGACCUGGCUACACACGUGCUACAAUGGUUGGUACAACGAGUUGCGAGUCGGUGACGGCGAGCUAAUCUCUUAAAGCCAAUCUCAGUUCGGAUUGUAGGCUGCAACUCGCCUACAUGAAGUCGGAAUCGCUAGUAAUCGCGGAUCAGCACGCCGCGGUGAAUACGUUCCCGGGCCUU